GCCGAGGUGGUGAAAUUGGUAGACGCAACGGACUCAAAAUCCGUCGGGAGUAAUCCCGUGGGGGUUCGAUUCCCCCUCUCGGCA
rnacentral:tRNA from 1 species